rnacentral:rRNA from 1 species
AUUGAACGCUGGCGGCAUGCUUUACACAUGCAAGUCGAACGGUAACAGGCCUUCGGGUGCUGACGAGUGGCGAACGGGUGAGUAAUGCAUCGGAACGUACCCAGAGGUGGGGGAUAACGCAGCGAAAGCUGUGCUAAUACCGCAUGUGAUCUGAGGAUGAAAGCGGGGGACCGAGCAGCAAUGUUUGGCCUCGCGGCCUUGGAGCGGCCGAUGUCGGAUUAGCCAGUUGGUGGGGUAAAGGCCUACCAAGGCGACGAUCCGUAGCUGGUCUGAGAGGACGGCCAGCCACACUGGGACUGAGACACGGCCCAGACUCCUACGGGAGGCAGCAGUGGGGAAUUUUGGACAAUGGGCGAAAGCCUGAUCCAGCAAUGCCGCGUGCGGGAAGAAGGCCUUCGGGUUGUAAACCGCUUUUGGCAGGAACGAAACGGUGUCCGCUAAUACCGGGCGCUAAUGACGGUACCUGCAGAAUAAGCACCGGCUAACUACGUG